rnacentral:rRNA from 1 species
CCUACGGGAGGCAGCAGUGGGGAAUAUUGGGCAAUGGGCGCAAGCCUGACCCAGCAACGCCGCGUGAAGGAAGAAGGCCUUCGGGUUGUAAACUUCUUUUCUCAGGGACGAAGCAAGUGACGGUACCUGAGGAAUAAGCCACGGCUAACUACGUGCCAGCAGCCGCGGUAAUACGUAGGCGGCAAGCGUUAUCCGGAUUUACUGGGUGUAAGGGGCGUGUAGGCGGGACUGCAAGUCAGAUGUGAAAACCACGGGCUCAACCUGUGGCCUGCAUUUGAAACUGUAGUUCUUGAGUACUGGAGAGGCAGGCGGAAUUCCUGGUGUAGCGGUGAAAUGCGUAGAUAUUAGGAGGAACACCAGUGGCGAAGGCGGUCUGCUGGACAGCAACUGACGCUGAGGCGCGAAAGCGUGGGGAGCAAACAGGAUUAGAUACCCGGGUAGUC